rnacentral:rRNA from 1 species
AGAGAGAGAGGGAAAGGGAGGGAACCGCGCGGGCCACUCCAGAUCGGCGGCCGCCGGCGACGCACCCCUCCAGAUCCUCCAAUGACGCGCACCCCCACCAGCCUCCACCGCCGGUGACGCGCGCCCCCACCAGCCUCCUCCACCGGUGACGCGCGUCCCCGCCAGCCUCCUCCGCCUCGGCCUCCAUCUUCUCCUGCGCCAGCAAACCUUAGCAGGCACUACAUUGUGGAAUGGAGGGAGUAUAUGGCGACUUGGGGCGACUAUUCAAGCCGAGUCAGUGAGUCAAGCCAGCAAGCCACUAGCCGCAACCUCGUCGACUUGGCUUGACUCGGCGACUCAAAAACCUUGGUACCAAGUUCAACUAUCAGUCUACUCCGAGUUCAGGGUAUCGUGACAUUGAGUAGGCGCGAAGUGUAUCACUCCAGCACACCAAGCUCUAGUGCAUGUCAACAUCUUCUCCACUGCAAUGGAAGCUCCUCCGUUCGAGUUGAGCACUGGUUAUCGUCCAAGUUGAGCACUAGGUGUCAUCCAAGUUCAAAGACGGUUGCAUGCAAGUACAUAAGUUUGUUUUAGUGAGAAAAAUGCGGCAUUUUGACAAUAUUCUGUUUGAUUCAUUUAUUCAAACUUAGGACUUGGCGAUAUUCGGUCUAUUUUUCUAUGAUGAAGGCACACAUGAAGUCAUGUGCGAAUGGUUAUCCCCCC